GGGAGCGUAGCUCAGUGGCAGAGCAUUCGACUGCAGAUCGAGAGGUCGGUGGUUCAAAUCUGCAGGCUCCUU
rnacentral:tRNA from 1 species